rnacentral:rRNA from 1 species
GAUGAACGCUGGCGGCGUGCCUAAUACAUGCAAGUCGAGCGAACGGACGAGAAGCUUGCUUCUCUGAUGUUAGCGGCGGACGGGUGAGUAACACGUGGAUAACCUACCUAUAAGACUGGGAUAACUUCGGGAAACCGGAGCUAAUACCGGAUAAUAUUUUGAACCGCAUGGUUCAAAAGUGAAAGACGGUCUUGCUUUCACUUAUAGAUGGAUCCGCGCUGCAUUAGCUAGUUGGUAAGGUAACGGCUUACCAAGGCAACGAUGCAUAGCCGACCUGAGAGGGUGAUCGGCCACACUGGAACUGAGACACGGUCCAGACUCCUACGGGAGGCAGCAGUAGGGAAUCUUCCGCAAUGGGCGAAAGCCUGACGGAGCAACGCCGCGUGAGUGAUGAAGGUCUUCGGAUCGUAAAACUCUGUUAUUAGGGAAGAACAUAUGUGUAAGUAACUGUGCACAUCUUGACGGUACCUAAUCAGAAAGCCCCGGCUAACCCCGUG